rnacentral:lncRNA from 1 species
AGACCUCAUGUGGGAGACAAAGAAAGUUCAGAGGAGAAAUGAUUGGGUUAUGAGAGCUCUAACCCAAUCAUUGAAUUAAUCCCCUGAUGGGAUUAACUGAGUGGUAACUGAAGGUGGGUAGGGUAUAGCUGGAGGAGUGGGUCAUUAGGGGUGUGCCUUGGGAGCAUAUAUUUUGUAUCAGGAGUCUCUCUGCUCUCUGAUCAUCACAUGAGUCGCUUCCCUCU